rnacentral:rRNA from 1 species
UCGAGAAUCUUUCGCAAUGGGCGAAAGCCUGACGAAGCGACGCCGUGUGUAUGAUGAAGGCCUUCGGGUUGUAAAGUACUUUCGCUAGGGAACAAGAGAGGCUGGCUAAUAUCCAGCUAAUUUGAGCGUACCUGGUAAAGAAGCACCGGCUAACUCCGUGCCAGCAGCUGCGGUAAUACGGAGGGUGCAAGCGUUAAUCGGAUUUACUGGGCGUAAAGGGUGCGUAGGCGGAAGGAUAAGUUAGUUGUGAAAGGCCUGGGCUUAACCUAGGAACUGCAAUUAAGACUGUCCAUCUAGAGUUGAGUAGAGGGGAGCGGAAUUUCCGGUGUAGCGGUGAAAUGCGUAGAUAUCCGGAGGAACACCAGUGGCGAAGGCGGCUUUCUGGACCGACACUGACGCUGAGGCGCGAAAGCUAGGGGAGCAAACGGGAUUAGAUACCCUGGUAGUCCCUGAGCGGGCUGGCAAGGCGCAU